CCCAGAAGUGUUCAGGUUUUUAAGCUUUCCUUUUCACUGCUCAGAUUACCAAAAUUUACAACCAAACUAUAUAUCACAAGCACAAAGUUUUCAAGCUGUUGUCUGAAUAGAUUAGAAAGCAUCAAAAUGAAGUCACGUGCUAUGUGUUUUUAUGUGGAAAUUCAGAAAGCUACAAGAUCCCAAGACUGACUUUGUAGCUUGCAGGAAAUCAGAGAAUCUCCUCAUAGGGCAGAUGAGCGAAGUGACUGCCAACAAACUGUAAAACAAGAUUACACAGAGCCAUCUGUUCAGACACUGAGUCUGUUGAGAAGUCUCAUCCCACACAGACUGCUGGUCUGACACAGUUUCAGGUUCGGUUGGAAACGCACACAAUCUCGACGAGACAUACAGCAGACUUCUACAAACUCUGUGAAGGAGAGGGAGGAUGGCUGCACAUCUCCAGCCCAGCCCGACCUCGCCACAACAUGGAGCCGUUCGAACUCAAUAACCUUGUAAACAGCAGGCGCCUUUCUUCAGCUCAGCUUUCCAGCCGCGGCACCACAGCAGCCGGGGAGUCGGGAGCUGAGCUGUCCCUCACUUCAGGGGCUACCGG